AAUAUUGGACAUGGGCGAAAGCCUGAUCAGCCAUGCCGCGUGUGUGAAGAAGGUCUUCGGAUUGUAAAGCACUUUAAGUUGGGAGGAAGGGCAGUAAGUUAAUACCUUGCUGUUUUGACGUUACCGACAGAAUAAGCACCGGCUAACUCUGUGCCAGCAGCCGCGGUAAUAA
rnacentral:rRNA from 1 species